GCCGGCAUAGCUCAGUUGGUAGAGCAGCUGAUUUGUAAUCAGAAGGUCGCGAGUUCGAUUCUUGCUGUCGGCACCA
rnacentral:tRNA from 1 species